rnacentral:miRNA from 7 species
CGGGGCAGCUCAGUACAGGAU